GGACGGGGUUUUCAGCAUUGGGCGUGAGCAUGGCUGUACCACCAGAUUCAUGCAAGAUCUUUUGCAUGGGCGAGAGAGAGUUUUCCAGGAGCGGUUGGUCCCCCCAGCGCAGCCUGGCUCUCCCCCCUGUCCGGAGCCUGGUCCUGUCAUGCAGUGCCGGUUCCUUGUGCCAUGCGAGCUCCACUCGAAUUCUGUUGUUGGAUCCACCCUUGGACUGGGGAGCGGGAACGGCACUUUCAGAGGAGCCCCUAUUAUCUUCAGUUUGCUAUGGAAUAAUAAAACUAAAAGGUCCAAGGAGUGUAAGUCGGGUAUAUGUG
rnacentral:lncRNA from 1 species